rnacentral:rRNA from 1 species
UACGUAGGGUGCGAGCGUUGUCCGGAAUUACUGGGCGUAAAGAGCUCGUAGGUGGUUUGUCGCGUUGUUCGUGAAAACUCACAGCUUAACUGUGGGCGUGCGGGCGAUACGGGCAGACUGGAGUACUGCAGGGGAGACUGGAAUUCCUGGUGUAGCGGUGGAAUGCGCAGAUAUCGGGAGGAACACCGGUGGCGAAGGCGGCGACCUGGGUGGAUACUGACGCUGAGGCGCGAAAGCGUGGGGAGCAAACAGG